rnacentral:rRNA from 1 species
UACGGAGGGGGCUAGCGUUGUCCGGAUUUACUGGGCGUAAAGGGCGUGCAGGCGGUUUGUUAAGUGCAGGGUGAAAGCUCCCGGCUCAACUGGGAGAGGUCCUUGCAUACUGGCGAACUCGAGGGAGGCAGAGGAAAGUGGAAUUCCCGGUGUAGUGGUGAUAUGCGUAGAUAUCGGGAGGAACACCUGUGGCGAAGGCGGCUUUCUGGGCCUUACCUGACGCUGAGACGCGAAAGCGUGGGGAGCGAACCGG